rnacentral:lncRNA from 1 species
UGACAAGUUGAAUGUUGGUUUGGUCCGAGCCAAGGGCGUUGGUGGCUGUACAUGUGAAGAGGGCGUAAUCCUGGGCGGCAGACACGUUGGCAAUGGUCAGGAGGCUGCUGUGGACACCACCCUGGUGGUAUGUGUGCUCCGUGUACCUAGAGAGAAGGUAGGGCACCACUCACCCUUCCAUUCACCCAACCACUUAUGCUUGGAAUCAUCUAUGCAUCCAUCCAUUAAUGUAACCGUCUGCCUAUCUAUCCAUUCAUCCAUUUAUCUUUUCAUCCACUCAACCAUUCACUCACUCAUUCCUCCACCCAUUCGUCUUCCUUCUCUGCAGGGACUCAGGGAGGGGAAGUGGGGCUGGAGGUCCAGACCUGGGGCUGGAGUGCUGCCUGGCUGGGCUUGGGCUCACCUGGGAUCUUGGAGAUCCAGAGGGACCCCGUUUUUUGUCCAAGUGAAAACGAUGUUGGGGACACCUCGGGCACGGCAGUGGAGGGUGGCAGAACUGGUGCUGUCUCCAGCUGCAGCCACCUUAG